UUCCCCUACGGGAGGCAGCAGUGAGGAAUAUUGGUCAAUGGGCGAGAGCCUGAACCAGCCAAGUCGCGUGAGGGAAGACGGUCCUAUGGAUUGUAAACCUCUUUUGUCGGGGAGCAAGACCCGCCUCGUGCAGGCGGAGCGAGAGUACCCGAAGAAAAAGCAUCGGCUAACUCCGUGCCAGCAGCCGCGGUAAUACGGAGGAUGCGAGCGUUAUCCGGAUUUAUUGGGUUUAAAGGGUGCGC
rnacentral:rRNA from 1 species